rnacentral:rRNA from 1 species
ACAGCAGCAGCCGCGGUAAUACGGAGGGAGCUAGCGUUGUUCGGAAUUACUGGGCGUAAAGCGCGCGUAGGCGGUUACUCAAGUCAGAGGUGAAAGCCCGGGGCUCAACCCCGGAACUGCCUUUGAAACUAGGUGACUAGAAUCUUGGAGAGGUCAGUGGAAUUCCGAGUGUAGAGGUGAAAUUCGUAGAUAUUCGGAAGAACACCAGUGGCGAAGGCGACUGACUGGACAAGUAUUGACGCUGAGGUGCGAAAGCGUGGGGAGCAAACAGGAUUAGAUACCCGAGUAGUCCCUGUCUCUUAUAC